GAAUUCCACGGUGGAGUUGGUUGGCCUUCGUCGACCGCCCUCGAGCGAUUCGAGCUGCGUUGGCCACCUCACGGUUCUUGAUGAACAACUCCGCCGCCAGUGUUAUCGAACUCGUCAGGAACUACCGCACUGCCCAAUUAUCUAGCCGCUGCACCGAAUCCUACCUGAUGCUUUUCUCGCACACUGCAAUUUCCGGCCAGCACAGUCUCCUCGUUUAAUUUGAUGUUCCCUGCAGCGGCUGGCGCUCACGAGAUGCGAGGGUUGUAAUCAAGCCCUAGGUUGGGCAACCCAUAUUUCAAGUGCAACAUGAAGCAACCCUCACAAUUGGACGAGAGAUUUCAAGUGACCAGUUUUAUCUGAUUGAAAGAGUGACCGGCACCUAUUUCAUGGAGAGAACAUCCAAACAAGAGAAAGGAUUUGGCUCGUGGAAUACAAGGAGCUAUUCAAGGUCAGCCUUGUAUGCCCUUGGAUCAAGCCUUGUAUGCAGGAAUUGCAGCCCGCUGCAUUAUUCAAAUUUGGAUUUCUAGCAAGCCAUGGGCAUAACUGAAGUUACAGCACAGGAGGGAACUAUAUUACUACAGGAGCUAGGCCCAUGACAAGACAGCAUAUAUAGGAAAACAAUCAAUAGAUGGUCUAAUGAUCUCAGAAUGGUUAUGAACCACUUAUAAUAUUACUGUCAGGUGAAUGGAAAAAAUAACUGGUUAGUAGCUGAUGCCCUUUCCCAUGAAUGUGAGGUGGUAGGAAUCAUUUUUUUUAUUCUGUUGUAUGUUUUCAAGAAUUAGAUGCAGAUGGAGUGAAAUGGCAUUGUGCAAGAUUAAUUCCAGGGGUUAAGAAAAGACCUGUGAGGCAAAUCUGGUUUGGUGUGAGGAAGGAAUGAGAAUAGAAGUGAGAUCCUUUCUUGAGACUGUACACAAUCCGAGAGUUGAUUGGGGAUAACCUGUAAUAGACUUGGUUAAUUUUGGUGUUUGUUAUCUUACAAACAUGUAACGAAUUGUGCAUCAUUUCUUUCCUGACAUAAAAUCCCUUUUUUCCAUUUAAGAAAUGCUUUCAUUUUUUAUACGAAAUGCUCUCAUUGAUCUUAGAGAGAGUGAUGUGGACAAUUAUAAUAUGCUCAUAAACAGAGUCUUUGUAAUAAAAGUUGAUUCGAACUUCUGACCUUUAAUAGAAAACUCUUUGAACCUAACUUGCUUAUCAAUUGUUGCUUCAUUGAAUAUUAUUUAUCCUCUGCACAGCUGCACUUUCAUGUUUUCCUUUGAAAAUCUUGUUACACUGAAGUUUAC